AUUGAACGCUGGCGGCAUGCUUUACACAUGCAAGUCGAACGGCAGCGCGGGCUUCGGCCUGGCGGCGAGUGGCGAACGGGUGAGUAAUGCAUCUGAACGUGCCCAGUAGUGGGGGAUAGCCCGGCGAAAGCCGGAUUAAUACCGCAUACGACCUGAGGGUGAAAGCGGGGGACCGAAAGGCCUCGCGCUAUUGGAGCGGCCGAUGUCGGAUUUGCUAGUUGGUGGGGUAAAGGCUUACCAAGGCGACGAUCCGUAGCUGGUCUGAGAGGACGACCAGCCACACUGGGACUGAGACACGGCCCAGACUCCUACGGGAGGCAGCAGUGGGGAAUUUUGGACAAUGGGGGCAACCCUGAUCCAGCCAUGCCGCGUGCGGGAAGAAGGCCUUCGGGUUGUAAACCGCUUUUGUUCGGGAAGAAAUCCUCUGGGCUAAUACCCCGGGGGGAUGACGGUACCGGAAGAAUAAGCACCGGCUAACUACGUG
rnacentral:rRNA from 1 species